AGGUCAAUUUUCCAUUAUUUUUGACAGGAAUGUCACAGGCUUCCAUUGUCCUGCCCAGUCCUGAGCCAAUACACCUUGUACAAAUCCAUUCUCUGUGCUUACAAUGAGAUGGAAUGGCUUUUCCAAAUUUGGCAAACUUAACACAGGAUCCUUGGUUAAGGCUUAUUUUAAAUUUUCAAAGCUUCCUCUUUCAUUUCCCUCCCACUUCAGAUUCCAAGGUUCAGAUUCAAUUAACUUUGCAUCGAGGAGUUUGACGCAGAGCAGAGA